rnacentral:rRNA from 1 species
AGUGAACGCUGGCGGUAGGCCUAACACAUGCAAGUCGAACGGCAGCACAGUAAGAGCUUGCUCUUACGGGUGGCGAGUGGCGGACGGGUGAGGAAUACAUCGGAAUCUACUUUUUCGUGGGGGAUAACGUAGGGAAACUUACACUAAUACCGCAUACGACCUACGGGUGAAAGCAGGGGAUCUUCGGACCUUGCGCGAUUGAAUGAGCCGAUGUCGGAUUAGCUAGUUGGCGGGGUAAGGGCCCACCAAGGCGACGAUCCGUAGCUGGUCUGAGAGGAUGAUCAGCCACACUGGAACUGAGACACGGUCCAGACUCCUACGGGAGGCAGCAGUGGGGAAUAUUGGACAAUGGGCGCAAGCCUGAUCCAGCCAUACCGCGUGGGUGAAGAAUGCCUUCGGGUUGUAAAGCCCUUUUGUUGGGAAAGAAAAGCAGCAGGUUAAUACCCCGCUGUUCUGACGGUACCCAAAGAAUAAGCACCGGCUAACUUCGUG